AUUGAACGCUGGCGGCAUGCCUUACACAUGCAAGUCGAACGGCAGCACGGGGGCAACCCUGGUGGCGAGUGGCGAACGGGUGAGUAACACAUCGGAACGUGCCCAGUAGUGGGGGAUAGCUCGGCGAAAGCCGGAUUAAUACCGCAUACGACCUACGGGUGAAAGCGGGGGAUCGCAAGACCUCGCGCUAUCGGAGCGGCCGAUGUCAGAUUAGGUUGUUGGGGGGUAAAGGCCUACCAAGCCGACGAUCUGUAGCUGGUCUGAGAGGACGACCAGCCACACUGGGACUGAGACACGGCCCAGACUCCUACGGGAGGCAGCAGUGGGGAAUUUGGACAAUGGGCGCAAGCCUGAUCCAGCCAUGCCGCGUG
rnacentral:rRNA from 1 species